CCUACGGGUGGCAGCAGUGGGGAAUAUUGGACAAUGGGCGAAAGCCUGAUCCAGCCAUGCCGCGUGUGUGAAGAAGGCCUUCGGGUUGUAAAGCACUUUCAGUGGGGAAGAAAGCCUUGGGGCUAAUACCCUCGAGGAAGGACAUCACCCACAGAAGAAGCACCGGCUAACUCCGUGCCAGCAGCCGCGGUAAUACGGAGGGUGCGAGCGUUAAUCGGAAUUACUGGGCGUAAAGCGCGCGUAGGCGGUCUGAUAAGCCGGUUGUGAAAGCCCCGGGCUCAACCUGGGAACGGCAUCCGGAACUGUCAGGCUAGAGUGCAGGAGAGGAAGGUAGAAUUCCCGGUGUAGCGGUGAAAUGUGUAGCGAUCGGGAGGAAUACCAGUGGCGAAGGCGGUCUUCUGGACUGACACUGACGCUGAGGUGCGAAAGCGUGGGUAGCAAACAGGAUUAGAUACCCCAGUAGUC
rnacentral:rRNA from 1 species